rnacentral:lncRNA from 1 species
AAGGAUCCACACAUCAAGACAUGACAUACAUACUAAAACAUGUGCCCACAUGCAAAACCUAACGAUACCCACUCUUCCAAAUUCACCCAUAAUACCUCAUACAUUCAGAAGUUUCAGGUUGAAAGUAUAAAGUAGUGGAAAUAGGGCAUACCUGAUUGGGGAGGAUCGAUUGAAAUUGAAUUGCACAGUUGGCUUUGCAGAACAAUCUUAGGGUUUAUAUGAGAGGGAAUUGGUUCUUUGCAGAUGAGUUCCCUUCAGUCUCUGGAGGUUGCUCUGAAUUAGUUAGAAUCUCUCUAGGAUUUUUCCACUGAUUUUUUUAUAGAAUUUAUAACCUGAUUUUCGUGGCUUUGUGGGCUCAAAUGAGAGAGGUCCAAGUCCAAGAUUUUUCU